AGGAGAGCGAUGAAGAAGAAGAGUAAGCUUUAAGAACGCUUCAGAGAGCUGAUGGUUGGUGAAAAUCAGUGUGGGAUUAUUGCUGAAUGGGCUUCUGAGCUACUAGACUGAAAACAAGUAGUAGGUUUAGCGGACUGUCUUACCGUUAAAAGAGACUAAGUAUCGAAACAAAUUUAAUGUUUCAGUACGGAUAAGUGCGUUUACAUUUGUAAACGAAUAAAGGUGGCACCACGGGUUACUCGUCCUUGUU
rnacentral:ncRNA from 1 species